rnacentral:rRNA from 1 species
UACACACCGCCCGUCACACCAUGGGAGCGGGAUGUACCAGAAGUAGGUAGGCUAACUCGUAAGAGAGGCCGCUUACCACGGUGCGUUUCGUGACUGGGGUGAAGUCGUAACAAGGUACCC